CAAACGCCGGGCCUAGGGCCGAGCGGGUCUGGCGGAGCCCCUGGUCACCCGGGCGACGGGCUCUUAGGUGCUGGGGAUCCGAACUACCCGGCUUUCCCGUCAGAUACCUUUUUUCGGGUGGUGUCCUGUCAUGGGGGCAUGGGUCCCCUCUUACCAUGUCUGGCUGGCGGCGACCCAGAUGCCACGUGAUGGUCAUUUGAAGACAAGCCUGUCGGACAUCAGUUCAUUUGACCAUAUGUGAGCAUGCAAGAUACGGGUGAAUUGACUCUUUAUGAUCUUGGACUGAACUAGAGGAUCAUGCCCACGGCAUCUUGCACCUUUCACUCCAUCUCGGAGAAACAAAAGGUAGAGGAAAAAUGAAUGUGAGGUCUACCACAGAGGAUACAGCAAUUCCAGUCCUUUUUUUGGAUCCUUGCCAGCACCCUCUAACCAUCCAAAACUGUUUAUCUUUUUCUUAUUUUUAGUGUUUAUCUUGUAAUUGUACAUUAUUAAAAUUUCUUACACUGAUUUCCAGAUAAUUUUCA